ensembl:lncRNA
AUGUAUGAGUUCAAAGUGUUCACAUCAUUCUAUGAACUUUACAGCACUCCACAUAGUGUUGUCACAGUAACAGUUCCUCCAAAGGUUCGUGAGGUCAUUGUGCCGCAGCGCUCUCUGACCAGCAUUACUCUAGCAUGGGAGACUGCAGAUAAAAACUGGGGAUACUUGGUUCAACAAAAUGGCAUCAAUGUGUCAGUGACUUCAGAUGGAUCCUUAAAUGUGACACAUACUGUAAAUGGUCUAAAGCCUGGAACAAUGUAUGAGUUCAAAGUGUUCACAUCAUUCUAUGAACUUUACAGCACUCCACAUAGUGCUGUCACAGUAACAGCCAUAAACUGUUCCACUGUAAACUGGCAUAUCACUGACUCGUCAAUCCAAGGAACGGUUGAAGGCUUGUUUACAAAUGCGACUGCCACCAAUCAUUCACAAGUUCACGUCAGUCCUAGAGGCAGUAAUGUGUCAUUUACUGGCCUUUACCCUGGGGGAACAUACGAGAUAUAUCUGGAGUAUGAAACAACUCCCAAACCUCUUCCACAGUGUCGCCACAGCCUAACAAUCCGUCCUUCUGCUUUACUUAAUGCCCGCUGUGAAUACUGGGCAGGCGGCUAUUCGGUCUAUAUUGUCUGGGACAAUCCAGUGGGUGUGUUGACUGCCGUGGAGGUGAACGUGAAAGACAAAAGUUCAUUAUUGCAUGAAGAUGAUGAACAGCACGUGAUAAUACCUGGAUUCCAACCUGCCAAAACAUAUCAAGUGACUUUGACAUCCCUGUCUGGAAGUAUAAGGAGUUCUUACCCAUCUGUUUUUCCCUGUUAUACUGACCCAAGGGGAGUCAUUGCUGGGUCACUAGUUGCUGUAUUGCUUUUUGGUGCCUUGGUCUGUGCAGCUGUUUUCCUUUUCUUUAAAAGACCAGAUAUUAUCAGGUUGGUGCUGCCUCAGUGACAACACUAGAUCUGAAAUGUGCACCGUCAGACUGUCACUGAAACUUUUGAUUCCUUC